GAUGAACGCUGGCGGCGUGCUUAACACAUGCAAGUCGAACGGAAAGGCCCAAGCUUGCUUGGGUACUCGAGUGGCGAACGGGUGAGUAACACGUGGGUGAUCUGCCCUGCACUUCGGGAUAAGCCUGGGAAACUGGGUCUAAUACCGGAUAGGACGAUGGUUUGGAUGCCAUUGUGGAAAGUUUUUUCGGUGUGGGUUGAGCUCGCGGCCUAUCAGCUUGUUGGUGGGGUAAUGGCCUACCAAGGCGUCGACGGGUAGCCGGCCUGAGAGGGUGUACGGCCACAUUGGGACUGAGAUACGGCCCAGACUCCUACGGGAGGCAGCAGUGGGGAAUAUUGCACAAUGGGCGCAAGCCUGAGGCAGCGACGCCGCGUGGGGGAUGACGGCCUUCGGGUUGUAAACUCCUUUCGCUAGGGACGAAGCGUUUUUGUGACGGUACCUGGAGAAGAAGCACCGGCUAACUACGUG
rnacentral:rRNA from 1 species